rnacentral:lncRNA from 1 species
UUUUUAUUUUUAUUUUUUGUAAUCUUUGGGGGAGGAUCACAAGGAUGGGGGCAGACUUGGAAGUACUGGGAAAUGAGUGUGAUGUGAAAUUCCCAAAGAAUCAAUGAAAAUUAUGUUAAAAAAGAAAGAAUAAAUGUUAAGCUGGGAAUAAUGGUACAUGCCUUUAAUUCUCAGCAUGUGGAAGGCAGAGGCUGUUGGAAUUCCAUAUGAGUUUGAGGACAUCCUGAUCUACAAAGCAGGUUCCAGAACAGACAGGGCUACACAAAGAAACCCUGUCUCAAAAAAACAAAAAUACAAAAUAAAAAACAAAACAAAACAAACAAAAAAGGGAAAGAAAACAAAGGAAAAGUUCCCAAUCAACCCAAAGAAUAAUGCGCUCGCCACUUACAAAUCUGUAGUUAAAGUGCUGCAGACGUGCCAAAGAACAAGACAAAGAACCGUGUCUAACUUAACAGCCCUCACUUGGGUAGCCAUUAGGCCAUGCAUACUUUAUGAAAAUAGAUGGGGUUUUGGCUUUUAUAUUAAUUCUGUAUAUGCAUAACCAAUAAACUCCGUUUCUGAGAAGAAAAUCGUUCCUGGGUCGCUAAACUUGGAUGAUAUCUUUUUGAGCUUAAUUUGGUCAUAUAUUUAAAAUGAAUUAUCUUAUAUAACAAAAGACCAUAAGGAACUUAAAUUUAAUAAUUCUAUGAUAUUGACAUCCAAGUAACUUAUUAUGUAGAUGUGUAGUUUAUCAAAAUGUAUAUAAUUUUGUAAUUUUAAACUCUAAGUAACUUUUUCAGCCUUAAGAAACUUUAGUACCUGUGUCCUUAUUGGCUUUAGGCUUGUAAGAAAAAAAUGACAGCUAGGCAUGGUGGCACAUGCUUUUAAUUCCAGGCCUUGGGAGGCAAAAGCAGGUGGGUCUUCAGUCUGGUCCACAGAAUGAAUUCUAGGACAUUGGGGGAUUAAGCAGAGAAACUGUGCCCCACCCCCAAAGAAGAAGGAGGAGGAGGGGAGGAAAGAAGGAAAGAAAAAAGACUGUGUUUAGAGUAUUUUUUAACUUUAAAAUGAGCACAAAUAAAGUUCCCCCCACCUUGGGAGAAUGGAAGUGGUCACACAUAAUAAUUAAUAACUAAAAUUUUGUGAAAUUAUGAAAGGAAGAUAUUAAUCACAUUUUAUAUACAAAGAAUUUUAAGGAUUAAAGAUACCAAUUUAUUGUUAGGAGCUAGCUGUUGUAUAGAAGGAUAAAGUUGGGGAGAAUUGAAUUUCAUUCUUUCUUAUUAUGCACUUCUCCUUACAGGAGUAAAAGAUAAAAUAACCACUUUCAUUGAAUAUCAAAAAGACUUUCCCCUUUGUUUAUGAAUUAUCCCCAACUUCUCAAGAGGCCUAACGACAAAAGCUAUUGUAUCCCUCCCAUUCUUGGACCCAGGUCUCUCCCUUGUACAUAAUUAUUAGUGUCAGUGUGUGUAGUGAAUAUAUCUGUCUAGUCUUUAUACUUUUAGAGAUUAUGCCCAAUUGAAUAAUAAAGCAGCUGACUCAGAAAGACAGUGACUUGCUGUUGUCACAAGGCAGGUAGUGACAAAGAGUACAUCUUCGCUGCACAAAUGCUGCACAGCAGCCAACAUUCAGAGCAGGAACCCCAUAUGCACAUCUGCCAAAUAGCAGGUUGGUUAGCUGAGGGGUAUACAGAGUCUAAUUCAUACACCUACAGUAUGUUUCCCAUUGAAAAAUCUCAUCUAAAAAAAAAAUAGUACCUGUAAUUUUAAGUGAAUCCUGAAAUACUGCUAUGAUAUUACUUUUUUUAAUUUACAAGAAAAGCUUUUAAAGGAAACAGGCCUUGCCUGCAACAAUAGACUACUGUUGAAAGUUUCACUAGCUAUUUACCAGCCAGAUGUGGCCCACACUUGGAUCAUCCCAGCAUGUGGGAGGGAUAGGUAAGAGGUUUCUAGUUUAGGCCCAUCUGGACAGCAUCUUGACACAACCUUGUCCUAAAAAAUUAAAAUCCAAAGUAAAAUAAAGACUUUGUGCUUAAAUACUAAGUUGAUUAAAAUGCUUGGUUUUAUUUUAUUAUUUCUUUUAUGUUAUAUUUGUUGGGGCAAUUACUUUACAUAAUAAUACUGAUAAUAAUAGUUAUAUGUACACAUAUGUAUUAUAUAUAUAUAUAUGUAUAUAUAUAUCAGUUUUAAAGAGUUAAGUUUCUAUUUUCAGAUUGAAGUGUUAUGUUUGGUUAUAGAACAUGUUACUGUUAUAGGAAUAAGAUGGCUAAUGCAUUUCAGGAAAUUUUAAGAUUUUCCUUAGCGCUUUUUAACAGCUCACUCUGAAUAGUAAAGAACACUGUAUUAAAAAAUACAAAGGAAAGAGUGGUUACCUAUGAGGACAGAACCAGGAAAUUAGAAAUUGUGGACACACUCUGGUUUUGUUUUAUGCCUGUAAUUUAUAGCAUUUUGUACUAGUAAUUGUUAACAUGUUACUGUUAGAAUUUUUCAAAGUUCAUAAAAGUUACCUUUAAGCAACGAUAGCAUAAAAUUAACAGUAGGUGUUUAUAGUUUUGUUUUUUAAACUCAAUUAUUUAUUUUAAACACACAAAUACAAUUUUUAAAGCUUAUGCAUACCUAUCACUUAAAUUGGAACAAACAUUAACAUUUUAGGAAAGAAAACUCUUUGAAAUUAUAUCCCAAAUGUUGAGUUGUUAACUAUUAAUAAACGUCUGUGCUGCCUGGGUCACUGCUGGUAUAUGAAAUAGCAUAUGCUGCAGGAGCUCUAAGGCCCUGCCCAGUCUCCACUGCACAGCAGCUGUAACCAUGGGUUGCUGGGCAAUGGGCAACACAGCAAACCCAGCUCCCUUCACUUGUGCAUGUAUUUAUCUAGAUUAAUGAUGUAGACCGUCAUAAACAAACAUGGUAUUUGUUAGAGAAAUAGGAUGACUAAUGCAUUUCAGGAAAUUUUAAGAUUUUCCUUAGCGCUUGUGUGUACUUUCAGUGCUUUUAGCCUCGAAAGAGAUAUAGAUUGUUUGGAAACCAAAAUUAAAGGUGGGUUGAGAGAGUACAAUCUGAUCUACUCACCUCGUGAUAAAUCACAUCCUGAGUCUAGGAGGGUAAGCUGGGUUUCUGUUUCAUUUGUUUCCUGGCAGAAAGGAGCUGUAGAAUAAUUCAUUUCUAUUAAAACAUAGAGUAAUCUUAUACGUUAGAGUCUUAUACUUUAAAAAUCCCAAUUCUUGAUAUUCAUUCUCCAUCAAUACAAAGAAAACCAAAGUCAAAAGGAAAAAACAUUUAGUCCUUAAAAGAAAAUAAUUAUAGCUUAUACUAAAAUGUAUUUAGGGAAGGCUAAGAAAAUUGUAAGUGUAGAGUGUUUAAUCAGUUUUAUAAGGUGGGAUGUCUACUGUCAGUCAUAACAUCUAUGUUCAUCAUAUAAACCGUCCAAGAGCUCCAGGGCUCUCAACAGAUUGUCUCCGCAAUUAAGACCUAUGUACUGCGUGCAAUAAAAGUAUAUGUGAAUCCAUUUCCUCAAGCUCUACAUAACAAGCAUCUUGCAAAAAUAAAAUGAAGUAAUACAUAAAUAUGUUUUGAGUGAAUGUACAUCACCCAUGAUACACAGGUUAACUGAGGCUUUAGAUCACAUAAACUAUUGUUAUAUUCUUCUGUUCUUUUGUUUGUCUGGGAUGGCGUAGGAUCUUUUGUAUGAACAAGUGCUUGAGCUACUUAAUGAGCUGACCUUUUUGUAACAAUAAUACAAAAGCUGAGCACCAUCCUUAUAUCCUCAGCCAUUUCUAUCAAAAGACCAGUGAACUUACUCAGAAUUAUCAUAGGUAAACUUGUGAGGAGGCUUCUAUGAACAGUCUUUCCUAACACAUUUCUGUUUCUUCUAUCUAUUAUCUCUACAUAUAAUUCACAUGACUAGAAUACCAUUAGUUUGGCUGAGGUUUUUCUACCUUCAGACAGCCUUGUGGCCAUUGUUCAAUGAAGGGAAGCCAGCCUAAUAGUGACAGUAGUAAUAUAUUAGAAAAGGAAGCCCCAGCCCUUUUUUUCCUCCGCACAGAGAUAUCAAUCUAGCAAUGUAUGUAUAAGUACUUUGGC